GGAUCAGGCACCGGGGUCCGGAUGGCUGGAUUCUGUGUAGCUACCACCUAGAUAGCACAGGAGGGGCCUGCGGGUGCCCGAGGCACCGGUGGAAACCUACCGGUCAUCAGGUACACGGAGUAUGUGGUGGCUGGAGCCAUUCGCUGAGAAAGGGGCCGUAAGAAGAGGUGAAUUUUGGAUGGCAUACGGUGACCCGGGUGACCCAGUGGAGUGGAGAAAAGUUUUCCAAAAAGCAGGUGCAUAUGCUGAGGCCCAGUGGUUCUAAGGACUGGGACUUAGUCCAAGAAACUUCCCAACUCCGAAUGAACUUGUCUCCAUUAUCGGAGGCCUUUUCUGCUGUUAGUAAACAGUCAUUUAGCAGCUAGUACUCUUAAUUUUUUAAAUAAAGAUUUGUUUAUUUAAAUGA